UACAGAGGGGGCAAGCGUUAUUCGGAAUUAUUGGGCGUAAAGGGCGCGUAGGCGGCCUGGCAAGUGGAAGGUGAAAACCCUCGGCUUAACCGAGGAACUGCCCUCCAAACUGCUUGGCUUGAGUCCGGGAGAGGUGAGUGGAAUUCCCAGUGUAGCGGUGAAAUGCGUAGAUAUUGGGAGGAACACCAGUGGCGAAGGCGGCUCACUGGACCGGUACUGACGCUGAUGCGCGAAAGCGUGGGGAGCAAACGGG
rnacentral:rRNA from 1 species